UCGCUUCAACAGCACAUAUACUAAAAUUGGAAUGUUACAGAAAAGAUUAGCAUGGCCCCUCUGCAAGGAUGACAUACAAAUUUGUGAAGCAUUCCAGUUUUGC